rnacentral:misc_RNA from 1 species
ACUUGAACUGCCUCGCUGAAAGAUAUUCUUGACUCGUGCUAAUCAUCACCUCCUGUCACCUCCUGUUCUAGCUCUUACCUUGCCUUCACUCUAUUUUAAUUCUUUUCAGUAAUGCGGUUUCUGAAAAUUGUGCUUAAAAUUGCACUUUACAAUGGGCAUCGUAUGAUAGUGGGCGGCUUUUAUUUUAGGUAUAAAAGUAUUACAUCCCCUGUUAAUUAACACGGUCUAUUUUGUAUCCAGGCAAGAAAUAAAAUUCUGUCACCACUCUCACCAGAAUUACUCAUAAAACUCAUAAACGUCUGAAAACGCCAUUGAAAAUUGAUUAUGAGAACGUAAAUAAUGGUGCUCAGCAAAUUUGUAAUAUUUUUCUGUAUUAUAACUUAUGAUUAUCAAGUAUUAUAGCUUUAUUAUUAAUCAGUCUAAGAACUUUUACCCGAAUGCGGAAAGUCAGCAUUUCAUGGAGGCCGAAUAGCUAUGUCAAUCUUCGGUGUAGUGACAGGAAUUAAAACUCGUGCCUGAUUAAAUUCGAUAAACACCUACCAGUGCCUCUAGAGUCACAAGAAUUGCAGAAAUAUCACGCGCCGGUUGUAGUAAGAGUCACUGGGCGCACUAAUGAGGACUUACGAUACCCUGAAGUGUUUUUUAGUUUGGAGUUCUCUUUUGAACUUGCUGCAUCGUGUGAAGCAUGUUAAGACAACGAGGCGCUGAUGGCGUGGCCAGUUCGUCUGCUGCCUGCAUAGAUGAUCGACCUCGGAAGAAGCUUUCCUUCAGAGACCCCGAAGUUGAAGGACGCACCUUCAAUGGCAUGCCCCUGUCAGCCCCUCCCGAUGGCUCCUCCAACAAGGGACGUUACAUCCUCAACAGACCGCACUCCAUCGCAGGCGUGCUCGGUCUCACCGGAUUCUCAAGCUCUGCAGGCGCCGAGCUUAAACACCCCGCAUCAUCGCCGGUGUCCCCACACAGUUAUGUACCAUCGUCUCCUCUACCUCAGUUGAAGAAGUUUAUUGUUAAUAAAAUAGAUAAAGGACGUAGGUUUGAAAAAGAAGAUGCUAUUCAAGAAAAUGAUAGUUCUCUGUCGGCAGGGAAGUUAAUCAAUGACCAUUACUCAAAACACAGAAAAUCAGGAGCCAAUGCUGAACAUAUUUCGAACACCUUACCCAAAUCAAAUAGAACAGAGUCAGGCUCUACGAAUGGGUCGUCGCGCUCCUCUGAUCCAUCCCGCGUUGACACGAAGCUGUCGUCACGCUUUUCAUCGCUGCCCCGUAAUGACCGGGGGCUCGACUCUAAAUUCCGCAGCCAAAUGUCCCCGCAAUCUUCGAGAAGAAAUAAACAAUCGCACUCUGAACUACUGCAGCCCCAGCGUCUGGACACCCUGAGACGGCACGACGUCACCGAACGCCGGCCCGUCUUGCAGGAGACGGCUAUUCUCAAAUGUGAUGACGAAGGUCCCUCCGCCCCUAGAAACAAGUCCCCGUCCCCUGAAGUGUCCCACAAGAAGCGCAGCUCCUCUGCCCUGCCCAUUGACAGGAUCAAGUCUGUAGAAGUUGCUGAUAACGAGUCAACGUCUGUGAGCUUAGAAAACCUGUCACUAGAUAGUCAGGCUAUGCGCAUCGUGCGCACCAUCGGCCAGGCGUUCGAGGUGUGCCACAAGUACAGCGCAGUCAAGGCCCCCUGCCCGCCCUCGCCCUCCUCCUCGCACUCCAACGACGACUCCGACGACUCGGCGCACAAGAGGAAAAACGACAUGCAAGACCAGGAGAGCGGGCAAGUCACACUCACCCCUGACGACCCACGUGACAGCCUCGCCUCCGGCAAGCCUGGUGACUCUGACCUCCUCACGUCCUCGCCCUCUCAGCUUAAACCACAAACGAGCUCUGGCAAUACUGGCACACCAGCAGGGGACCCCCUGAGGGGCGGCGCCCCCCUGGCGCUGCACCACGAGCUGCAGCUGGUGAGGGCGCAGCUGGAGCAGCAGCAGCAGCAGACGCAGGCAGCUGUAGCACAAGUACAUCUGCUCAGAGACCAGCUCGCUGCUGAGACGUCAGCCAGACUUGAGGCUCAGACGAGAACUCAUCAACUUCUGGUGCACAACAAGGAGUUACUGGAGCACAUCCAGGCUCUCGUGCUCCAGAUCAGAGAAUUGGAGAUCACUUCUCCAGGAGUUACAGCCGCACCGCCUACCAUCCCGCCCCCUCCAGACACCACCACACCUCCAACUCCAUCCCUGCAGAACAUGGAUGACUUAUAAAUAAGUUUUUGUUCCUAGUAAUACUGAGUGUUCCUGCCUUCUCUGAACCUUGAGCCUGUCACGGAGCUGCCGAGCUUCGCGCUGAAUGUCUCGCAGCUUAACUGAACUUAUCUCUCGUGUCGUAUUUUUUAUGAACUGCUAUUAAUUUAUUUUAGGGCAUUUUGAAACUAAGAUGCCUAGUUUUGACUAGUAUAAUAAUUAGGCUAUAUUGGUAACUCGGUAUAACGAACUGACGUGGUCGAUGGAGCCCCCCUCACGGAGCUGACGUGAUGAGCUGCUGCUACAGUGGUCGGGCGUCCAGCCUGCGUGUGUCUCGCCUUGUUUGUAAUUCGCCGAGACUCCAUCACCAACUCCAGCAGCAGCUACAUCAGUAUCAGCUACAACAACAGCUUCAGCAUCACCAGCUACAACAGCA